CUAAGAGAGCUCCUGUGGUUUAGGCUAGGUUUAUAGAAAGUGUCUCAGUGGUCUUGCUGGAUUUCGUGUUGAUUAGACCUCAUCAGGAAUGGUCCGUUCAAGGACAGUUACAGAGAUUCCUGAAGGAUAUCCAGAGGGAGGGGUUUGGAAUAGCUAGUGACCUAGAAACCAUAUCACACGGUUGUAGGAGAAAGAGAUGUUUAAUCCACAGAGAUGAAGAAUUGAGGGAGGGCUCCCGAUGGGUGGUCUUUGAGCGCGGUGUUUUACACAGAAGAUGGAUUGGAUUUCUCUGUGUGGUGUACGAAGGCAAAGCUGGAACCAGUGGGCCCAAGGUUUAGGGACAAGAAUAUCUGCUCACCAUGAGUACUGAGUAUUGACAACGAGGAGUCAGCUUCCUGCGUGGGGGCAGUGGUUUCUCUAUGUGUUUAUACUUAAGGCGCUGAGUUAUUCCAGGAAAGCCAAAAUCCAAGGAGAAAGGCAGCCUUUGGAGAGGGUGUUUUCCAUUGCUAGAGGGGGUUAGGACUAGGCUGAGAGAUUAUUUUUCAGGGAUGUGGUUAUAUCUGAGGGCCGCUGAAGCCCGCCCAUCCUGAAUGUCUGUGAGAUUCUGCAAGGAGAGAGUCUGAGAAAAGGUAAUUGCUAUACUCUGUUUAAGAAGAAUGAGUAAAUGUCCUUGGGUAUAAUUUGUUCCUAUGAUCAUUCUCUCCUAAUUUUGAUCUAGUUAGUGACCAUAAUCCUUCUUUGUAAAUAAACCUUCUUUGACAUUUGCAGUGAACAAUUAUAUUUCUCUAAACACAUACGGAUAUUGUAGCAUUCGAAAGGCUCCUGCAGUUUCGUGCGAGGGUGCUGAGCCUUCCCCCCACCACCCAAACAUUAUCUGACUCUUUGCAGCUACACUCAACUUGGAACAGAGUUUUAAAAGCUGCAUCCUAAGAAUAAAGUUAACUUUACAAAGGAGGAGAGAGUUGGUAAACUACGCAUUUUAUGACAACGGCUUAAGCUCGAGAACAGCAUCCAUCAAGGUUGAAAAGACCUCACCACCUGGCACAAUGAAGUAAUUUUAGAACUCUCUGCUCCAGCAGAGAAGAAGAAAACAACUGUGGGAGUGAGAUUUCUUUCUGACAAGGAAAGAAAAACCAAAGGAGGAAGAAAAAAUAAAACGCUUCUGGGGGAUUAAGAGUACUGAAUAAGUGAGAAAUACUCAGGGAGGCUCAAAAUGAAAUAACAGGAAAUCAUUCCAGGGGCUGAAAAACACUUAGGCCAGGAGAGAGAGUCUCCUCCCUCAGCCUUUCCAGGCUUCUCCCAGAGGGAUGUGUUUUGAGUCCGAAGCUUGUCCGGUUCUGGCGAAGGGUGCCUGCUGGGCGAGUGCAGCGAGGAGACGGCCGCUGGUGUGUGAAGCGGAGGAGCGGCUUUGAUCUUAGGACUGUUGUCUGGAAUGUCCUGAAUUAGGGCUAUUAGUGAUCAUUUCCUCUGAGAAGUCCUAUUUCAGAACGUUCUUCUCUCGAAUUUCCUGGCUACUAACAGCUUCCUCUUCAUGCUGCCUUUAUAGCUUUUUCAAGAGGCUAAAGAAAAGAAUGUGAGGACUCCAGGCUCUUCUUCAUCAGCAUCUUCUAGCUGCUGUUAAUCGUCGUCGCAUCCUGCUAGGCACACGGCUGCUCCCUCAGUUCUCAGAGCACCUGAACGUCACAAAACGCCCGUGUUGACCGAUUCCUAGGAAGAGAAAAGCGUGUUGCCAGGAAGACUUAUUCACGUUCGAGUCUUGCCUCCAAAUGCAGUCUUUGAUUAAAUUUCCUGGGGAAAUGUGUGUAGAGGACCAUCCCGCAGAGACAGACAGAAGGACCACCUGCUGAGACGGACACGGGUUUGUUUUCGGAGCUCCAGCUGAGCGCCCUGCCAGCCUGGGCACGGUGGGGAGGGUUUCCCUCUCGUCUCAGCAGCGAACGUGUCUCCCGGGGACAGUCCGCUCAGUGUCGGGGGACAGGGAGGAAUGCAUCUGCGGGGCUUGAGGGUCUGACGGCUGACGUGCGCAUAGGAGGCGGGCAGCACAAAGCCCAGCGUCUCUGUCCUCCUGCGCGAGGCUGGAACGUGGCGGGGGCAGCUUCCUGUUGAGGCCCCAGAAGCCGUUGCGUUGGGGGACAGUUCAGGAGGAGAAGCCAUCGGAUUGGACCAAGGAGAUCCUGGGUUCUGCCAAAUCUAGCAAGGGGGCAGCUGAGCUGGCGGACGUUUACCUUUAAGUGUGAUGGUACCGGCCCCCAAAUGUUCUGGAGUGACUUGGCCCUGCAGACAUUUCCUGUGCAGGAUGAAGGAGCUGAACCAGAACAUGGACUGAGACAGCAGGCUGCUUCACUCACUCCGCCAGACUGGCCCUGAGCUAACAUCCAUGCCCAUCUUCCUCUACUUUAUAUGUGGGACGCCUGCCUCAGCACGGCUUGACAAGCGGUGCCAUGUCCUCACCCAGGAUCUGAAACAGCGAACUCCAGGCCACCGAAGUGGAACUUUUGAACUUAACUGCUGAGCCACCAGGCCGGCCCCUUUUAUGGAUUUUUUAAAAUUUUGAAACAAUUUAAAACAUGGAGACAAGUUGUCAGAACAGAGCAGAGCACUUUUUCCCCUGAACCUGAGAGUAAGUUGAUGACAUGAUGCUCCAUCUCUCCAAGUACUCAAUGAGUGUUUUUAUACAUGAAGACAUAAACUGACGUUGCUACCAACCAGUCAGCAUCAGGAAAUGAAUAUAACUGUACCAUCCCAGAUGACCUCAGACCCCGUUUACACCUUAUCAGUCAUUGAAAUAAUGUCUGCUACACCAGAAAGAUUCCAUCAGAAUCACGCACUGUUAGCUGCCACAUCUCUUUAUUGCCCUUCAGUUUGGAACAGAGCGUUGGUCUUUCCUUGACCUCACGACCUUGGCACUGGGAAGAUAAGGGUCAGCUAUUGUGCAGAAUGUCCCUCAAUUUGGGUUUUCCUUGGGUAUCCUCAUGAUCAGCUUCAGAAUGUACACCUUAUUUCUUGCAGAAAUACCACAGAAAUGAUACUGUGUGUGUCUCGUUGCACCCUGUCUGUCAGUGCAGGAUUUGACUUGUCCUCUUACUGUUAAGUUAAUGUCGACCAUUUUUUAAAGCAGCGUCUGCCAGGAUUCUCCACUGGGAAGCUGUGAUUAACGCACACUCAGCGUGUGUGUACUUGGAGAUUAUGUAAAUACGAGAGGUGGGCUCAUCAAACUUUCAAUUAAUUCAGUAAUUGAUAUGAGAUUGGGCUUACGGAUUCUUGUCUUAUUGAUGUUAUAAUGUUUUGUUAUUAUUACUUAUUUUGAUGCUCAAAUUGUUCUGGCUUUGGCCAGUGGGAGCCUUUUCAAGCUGGCCCCUGUGUCCUUUGAUGUGUCCCCAUCAUUCUUUGAGCACAAUUUUAUGGCAUCACAAGAUGUUCUAGGAUCGUCUUAUACUUUCCCUGACCAGCCUUGGAUUCACCCAUGUCUCCAAGGAGCCCUUUUAAGGCAGAAUAGUAUUUAGUAACCAAGGUCUGGGUCGUAGGUAUUUUAAACACAGACACCAAAGCACACACAUUGUGAUCGUUAAUUUUACAUGUCAACUUGACUGGGUCACAGGGUGCCAGGACAUUUGGUCAAACAUCAUUCUGGGUGUGUCUAUCAGGGUGUUGGGUGCUUCCGGAUGAGAUUAACCUUUGAAACAGUAGACUGAGUAAAGCAGACUGCCCUCCCCAAUGUGGGUGGGCUACGUUCAAUCAGUUGAAGGUUUGACAAGAACAACAAGACUGAUCUUCCCACAAGUAAGGGGAAACUUCUCCUGCCUGACUGCUUUGAACUGGGGUGUCACAUUUUUCCUUCCUGUGGACUCAAACCUAAACAUUCGCUCUUCCUGGGUCUUGAGGCUGCUUAUCUUCAGACGGAACCUGCACCGUCAGCUCUCCUGGGUCUCCAGCUUGCCAACUGCAGACUUGAGACUUGUCAGCCUCCAUAAGCACAUGAGCCAAUUCCUGGUAAUAAAUCACACACACACACAGACAUCCUUCAGUUCUAUUCUCUGAAGAAAAGAAUUUCUAUUCUUUCUUCACACACAUUUACCCCUACAUCUGUUUCUAUGUCAUGUGAAUUCUUUGAAAAAUGUGUGAAUUCAUACUGGCAUCUUCAAUUUGAUGCAUUACCACAGGAUUCAUCCUAGUUCUGCCCUUUCCAUGCUUGUACCACCCUUCUGUGCCCAGGAGAAACCUGGGUCCCGUCGUCCUCAGGGUAUUUUCUUACUAGAUCAGACCCAGUACCUGAUCAGCCAUCAGUCUCUAUCGCCACUCUGCGUCCCGCUGCCCUGGUGCCCUCCUGUCUCUGCUCGGCUCUGACACUGCUGCCAGGCUGCCGUCACCACUGUCCUCUGAGCAGUCACAUGCUCGUCCCACUGUGGCUGCAACACAUCCUGUCACCCCCAAUCCGGAGGGCCCUCCCCGCUCAGGAGCACUGAUCCCUGCCCUGGACAGCCGCCUCUGCAGGUGGACGCCCCGCUCACCUGCUCGCUCUCCCACACCGUGUGCAGGGCUGCCCUGCUAGGCAAAAAAAAAAAACACCUCACCUAUUUUUUCUGUGCACCCCAAACAAAUGGAAAACUUCCAAUUAAUAGUUUUGACAUUUUCUACUGUAAAGAAUCCUCCAAUUCAUGAGACACAUUGAGGAAAAUAUCUCCAUGAAUGUGAUGUCGCAAAGCCUCCCUAGUCCGUACCGGCUCCUGAGCCUGCAGUGUGUGACCACCCGAGAAGAGCUACCAAGAAGACCCCACAUCACGUCUGAGAAACAGAUUCUCCGUCCACUGUCAAAGCUGUGCAUUCACAUUUGGGAUUCAAGGCAGCUCUUCCACCGCACUUAGCAGGAGGGUAGGAUAGAAAUUUAACUUUGACAAAUUUCUCAACACAGCUUAAAUUUUGUUUUGAAAUAUAAAUUAUUUAAAAAGCAAAACGCAUUUAUAUAAGUGUGCUUUUUAAGGUCUCAAUUUAAAAUAUUCACAACUUAAGUCACGAAGACAUAUAUAUCAUGAUAAAUAUCCCCAUUUCUGGUAUAGUUCUUGUAACAGAUUUUUUUAAAGAGAAAAAUGUUUCCAUAAUGAAACACUGGCAAAACCUCUUUAUCUUUCUGAAUUUUUUGCUCUUUCAUUUAGAAAAACAAUGGAUGCUCUCUCCUUUGCCAGGCACUGAAAUGCUGACAUAUGAAGUGUAAUAUUUAUUACUUUUCACGAGGCAACAUAAAAGUUGGCAGAUACGUGCUUCUUAAGAUGAAAGUAGAAACAAAUUUCCUUGCCAAACCUCAUGGUAAUAGAACUGUAUGUGAUUUAUUCACAGUAGUAGAGGUGUCUAGAAAUAGGAAAAAAAGAAAUAAUAUUCUAGAAUGAUUUUUCAUGUAUAUGUUGAAUUAAUUCACGUCACUACCUCCGUUUCAAGGAAACAAUCCCAUAAUUGUAUUCUAUUAGAAAACAAACAGAGAAAGGAAGCACACCUGACAGAAUGGAGGGCAUCAGAGCUCCGGCUUUCACGGAAGGAAACACGGAUUCCACGUGUGGACUCGACACAGACUGAAGACGGGAACCGACAAUCUGUGAUUGCAAACCCUGCUCAGGCCACUCAGCCUGGUUCUGAAGGUUUCGAUGUGUGUGAAGUAUGUAAAAAAACAUCUCGUAGCAAGCUACCUGUUGGAAGAAUCACAUAUUUAGAAAAUCGAUGAGUUUUGAGUAGCCCUAAAAAUUAGAGAAAUUGCUUCUUUACUUUUCACAUACAGCCUUAAUCAUUUACAGAAGUUUUGUGAAAGAAAACCUGUAUAAAUCAAAUACGGUAAAAAUACUAAAGCAGUAUCUUCCAAAAUGAGUUAUAAAAUAAAUUUAGUGGUUUAUAAUCAACAAUUAAAAGAUGAAAUGGCUACAGAAAAAAUAUCAAAGGGCAUCAUACGUAGUAAGGGUAUUAUUUUUGUAAAGUUUUCAUUUUCAUUAUUAUACAUGAUUGGAUUGUGGAGCAUUUGUGACAUAAAAUGUAUUUUUUAUUGUUGGAUUUUUUUUAGUAUAUUUUUUUAUUUUAUUUUUUUUCUGGGAAAGAUUCCCUGAGCUAAUAUCUGUUGCCAAUCUUCCUCUUUUUUUCCUCCCCAAGGCCCCAAGCACAGCUGUAUAUUCUAGUAAGUCCCUCUAGUCCUGUGUGAGCGGCCACUGCAGCCCAGCUGCUGACGGACUGGUGCUGGGGUUUUGCAACCAGGAGCUGAACCUGGGCUGGCGAAGUGGAGCGCGCCGAACUUUAACCACGAGGCCACUGGGCUGGCUCGCUGUUGUUCUUUUCUUUUUGGUUUAAAUGCUCGGAAGUGCUCCUGCCCCAGGAGUCCCACGGCGAGGCUUCUACACUUACCUGCUCAUUCUCUCACCCAAGAUUUAACGCGGUUUCCUUCAUGUGUGUGCAUUUCUCCCAAACUUGUAGCAAUGCCCGGCACACUGGAAGCACUUCUCCAUUUCCGAGUAUUAUCGUAGCUGUCAGCCCUGGUUCACAGAGGCGUGUGGUCACCCAGCACAUUUCACCUGCUGUGCUGGAUCCCGGGGACAAAGGAUCCGUGCUUCACGAGGUUGGGUUGAGUGGAAGGAGGAGGCGGGAGCCUGUGGUCAGAGUAAGCUGCGAUCAGAGAGCCCGACAAAGAGAUAGACAGAGCCGAGUGACCAGGCCCAUGUGGGCCUGAGCCUGCAUGUCCUGAGCAGAGAAGUGACCUUAAGACUGAAUCUUGAAAGUGACGAGAGACAGGAGAGGGAGGAAGAAAGAGUGCAGGCACAGACGUGAGCGUGUUAUAAACGGCAGACAAGAAGUCACUUGUGACCAGAGUCUGCAGGGAGGGGGUGUCAGGACGUAGCUCGGGGAAAGAGCACAUUCCUGAAGGGUCUGAGACGCUAGUGUUUUGUCCUAAAAGCAAUGAGGAAACAUGGCCUUUGAGACUUCCAGGUACAGGAGGGACACGAUUAGGAAGUCUUUAUCACGGGCUGGGAGUGGAAACGUUGACUGACACAGAGGCCCCAGUUGGCGGAAGGAAGCCCAGUGUGAGCUUUUGGUACCAGAGGUGACAAGGGUGUGAACGGAGGCCCUGAGGUGCAGGGAGGUGGGAAAAGGGAUGAAUUUGGAAGGGGUCUAGGAAGAAGAGCUGUAGGACUGGUGGCUGGUUGGAAGGGCAGGGGGAGUUGGGGCUGCACUGAGGAAAGCGAAGCCUUUGCUGGAAUCUGGAAUACAAAGCAGGGAGGAGGCGGGAGGUCUGACGAUUCACUUAAUUUCAGAUACACGGAUUGGAGUUGUUGGAGGACCACCUCACGGAGUUGUUUAACAGGGGCUGUGAUAGGACAGACUCUCAAAGAUAUUUGUGAACUGAGUGAAUAUAUGAGCGGCUGGACGUGAAGGCAGAAGGCUCAGGGGCAGCAUCAGGCAUCUGGAGUCUCUAGUUUGGAAUGAGAGAAUGGCCUGAAAGGUGACUGUGGGGACCACCAGUGCUGUAGGAGGUGGGGAAGGAAAAGGGGAAAUAGAGGCAGAAUGGGAGCCUUACAAAGCCUACAAUCACACCAACAUCAUUUUGAUGUAAACGUGAAUUUUUAACUGCAGGACACAGCAUUUGUUUAAGAAAAAAUAUCCAUAUGGCAUGCUAUGUUGGGUCGGCUGUCUUUACUGACCGUGCAGGCCUCCAGACCGUGUUGGUGUGAGGCUUUAGGGAGUGGAUAGCUAUAAACUGUGCUAUGACUCAGAACAUUUUCAGACACACAGGCACCCUGGAAUAUUGGAUGUUUUAAAUUUCAAAGAUGUCUAUGAGUUAGUUCAGUCAGGAGCAGAGAGACUUGAAUCAACAAGAUCGGAAACUCAGGGGACAUCAAAAGGCAUCUGCAUUAGUCUGAAAGCUGCAGGGUGUGGGUCAAUUGCUCUUAGAGGCAUCUACGCAUCAUGAUAAGCAAGAGGAAUGUGGCCACCACAGGAUAUCUUCACUGAGUCUCAUUAGGAAAUCUGAGACUGGGUGUUGGCCCUCCCACAAAGUGCGCUGAGGAAACUCACUGGCAUGCAAUGACUCUGAAGACCAAUGUUUCUUUUCCGUUUUACACUGAAAAUCUCUCUCAAACCUGCACAUCUUUCUUCUCCAGUAAGGCCCCUCUGGGGCGAGCCAGCAUCGAGUCAUCCCUGGAAGACUCUAUCAGUUUCCUAACUGUUCUCACAUCCUUUUCACACCCACCUCCGUACUUGUUCUCUGCACACCAGCCAAAGUGACUUUUCAAAUGCAAAUCUGAUUAUGUCACCCUUUGCUUAAAACUUUAGAAUAAAGACUAAAAUCCUUACAGUCUACAAGUUCCUGCAUAAUCUGGCCUCAAAGCAACUUCCUCGCCUCCGACUCGUAUUCCAGGCAGGUGGGCGACUGUCAGGGCCUCCAGUGUGUAAGUGGCGCAGCCCAGACUCAUCCUUCAGUUCUCCACUCAAAGUCGGCUGCCCUGAGCCCCCAGCCUGGGCCAGAGGGGCUCCGAGACCACAGAACAGACUCUGCAAUUGUCCUUUAUAAACCCAGCUGCACUCUGUGCUGACCAAUGUGUUUGUCUGUCAUCCUCGCUGGUCUGGAAGACCCUGCAGUUGGUCGGGGGCCAUGUUUAUCUUAUCGUCAUGGUGUCCUCACACAGCGCAGGGACAGUGACUCAGGGCCACCUGCAGGAGUGACGCCCCGGCCAGGACACGGUGGGUUGGGGAGCACUGGGGUCAGGUUGAAUGAGCAGGGAGCCCUUUACAGAACCAGCCCCAAACUAGCCUAUUUCACAAAGCUGUGCUAAUGUGAACAAGUUUUCCUGGCUGUCCUGCCUUAUGGAGAAAAUAAACACAAAUAGCUUACCAGAAAAUACCACUAUUAAGAAAUAUCAGGACUGAAUGAUCUCUAUGGUCCUUUCCAGCUGUAAAAUUAAUAGUUAAUGUGAUAUUAAAUAUGAUAGUGGCUUUACACUCCAAGUGUAUUUUAUAGUAUAGUAUCUCCAAGUAUUAAGAUACACUCCAAGUGCAUUUUCCUAUGGGGGGAGUUAAUAAAAUAAAUUAAAUGCAGCAUCAUAUAAUGCUCUCCUGGCAGGGAAGAAACAGUUCAAUGACUUUGUUUACAUCUAUGCAACAGUAAAUUAUUCUAAUGUCAUCCUUUGCCCCAAAUUGACUAAAAUAAAAUUUGAAUUCUGCAUUCUGGAUUAAAAUUUCAAGUAUUCAUGCAUGUUAAUAUAAAGGACCCACUUAAGGAAUAGCUA
ensembl:lncRNA